rnacentral:rRNA from 1 species
CGGGGUGCAGCAGGCGCGAAAACUUUACAAUGCGGGAAACCGUGAUAAGGGGACACCGAGUGCCAGCAUCAUAUGCUGGCUGUCCGGGUGUGUAAAAUACACCUGUUAGCAAGGGCCGGGCAAGACCGGUGCCAGCCGCCGCGGUAACACCGGCGGCCCGAGUGGUGAUCGUGAUUAUUGGGUCUAAAGGGUCCGUAGCCGGUUUGGUCAGUCCUCCGGGAAAUCUGAUAGCUCAACUAUUAGGCUUUCGGAGGAUACUGCCAGACUUGGAACCGGGAGAGGUAAGAGGUACUACAGGGGUAGGAGUGAAAUCUUGUAAUCCCUGUGGGACCACCUGUGGCGAAGGCGUCUUACCAGAACGGGUUCGACGGUGAGGGACGAAAGCUGGGGGCACGAACCGGAUUAGAUACCCGGGUAGUCCCAGCCGUAAACGAUGCUCGCUAGGUGUCAGGCAUGGUGCGACCGUGUCUGGUGCCGCAGGGAAGCCGUGAAGCGAGCCACCUGGGAAGUACGGCCGCAAGGCUGAAACUUAAAGGAAUUGGCGGGGGAGCACAAGGGCGAUUCGCG